GCCUUCGUGGUGUAACGGUAGCACACUCGGCGCAUAUUCGAGAGGUCCAGGAUCGAAUCCCGGCGAGGGCA
rnacentral:tRNA from 1 species